ACCGUAAACAAUUGAUUUACACCCACAAACGCCAGGGAAUUACGAGCAAUGCUUAAAACCCAAAGGAUUUGACGGUGUCCCACCCAACUAGAGGAGCCUGUUCUAUAAUCGAUGAUCCCCGCUACACCCGACCACUCCUUGCCCAUCAGUCUGUUUACCUCCGUCGAAAGCUUACCAUGUGAACGUCUGCAGUAAGCCCAAUGACUCACACGUCAACACGUCAGGUCAAGGUGCAGCUUAAGGACUGGGAAGUAAUGGGCUACAAUUUCUAAUCUAGAACAAACGGAAGACUAUGUGAAACCCUAGUCAUGAAGGUGGAUUUAGUAGUAAAAAGAAAAUAUAGUGUUCUUUUUAACUCGGCUCUGGGAUGCGUACACACCGCCCGUCACCCUCUUCAAUAGUAUCUCCUCAGUUCCUAACCCACUAUUACGUCUUAAAAGAGGCAAGUCGUAACAUGGUAAGUGUACUGGAAAGUGCACUUGGCAAACA
rnacentral:rRNA from 1 species